rnacentral:rRNA from 1 species
UACGUAGGGGGCAAGCGUUGUCCGGAUUUAUUGGGCGUAAAGAGCGUGUAGGCGGCCGUACAGGUCAGCUGUGAAAACUCGAGGCUCAACCUCGAGACGUCGGUUGAAACCGUACGGCUAGAGUCCGGAAGAGGAGAGUGGAAUUCCCGGUGUAGCGGUGAAAUGCGCAGAUAUCGGGAAGAACACCGGUGGCGAAGGCGGUUCUCUGGGCCUGACCUGACGCUGAGGAGCGAAAGCGUGGGGAGCGAACAGG